rnacentral:rRNA from 1 species
UACGUAGGGGGCAAGCGUUGUCCGGAAUUAUUGGGCGUAAAGAGCUCGUAGGCGGUCUGUUGCGUCCGCUGUGAAAACUCGGGGCUUAACCCCGAGCCUGCAGUGGAUACGGGCAGACUAGAGGUAGGUAGGGGAGAAUGGAAUUCCCGGUGUAGCGGUGAAAUGCGCAGAUAUCGGGAGGAACACCGGUGGCGAAGGCGGUUCUCUGGGCCGAUACUGACGCUGAGAAGCGAAAGCGUGGGGAGCGAACAGG